rnacentral:rRNA from 1 species
UACAGAGGUCCCAAGCGUUGUUCGGAUUCAUUGGGCGUAAAGGGUGCGUAGGCGGCGCGGUAAGUCGGGUGUGAAAACUCGGGGCUUAACUCCGGGCCUGCAGUGGGUACGGGCAGACUAGAGUGCGGUAGGGGAGACUGGAAUUCCUGGUGUAGCGGUGAAAUGCGCAGAUAUCAGGAGGAACACCGGUGGCGAAGGCGGUUCUCUGGGCAUUACCUGACGCUGAGGAGCGAAAGUGUGGGGAGCGAACAGG